CCUACGGGGGGCAGCAGUGAGGAAUAUUGGUCAAUGGGCGCUAGCCUGAACCAGCCAAGUCGCGUGAGGGAUGACGGUCCUAUGGAUUGUAAACUUCUUUUAUCUGGGAGUAAAGUCCAGCAUGUAUGCUGCUUUGCAUGUACCUUAUGAAUAAGGCUCGGCUAACUCCGUGCCAGCCGCCGCGGUAAUACGGAGGAUCCGAGCGUUGUCCGGGUUUAUUGGGUUUAAAGGGUGCGUUGGCGGGAUGUUAAGUCAGGCGUGAAAGUGUGCGGCCUAACCGUAAACUUGCAGUUGAUACUGGCAUCCUUGAGUACAGGAGAGGUAUGCGGAAUGCGUGGUGUAGCGGUGAAAUGCAUAGAUAUCACGAAGAACUCCGAUUGCGAAGGCAGCAUACUGGA
rnacentral:rRNA from 1 species